rnacentral:siRNA from 1 species
UUAGAUAAUAGUGUCCAGUA